CAGCACAGGGACAAAAUUCACCACAAUUCAGCCCAAAAUGACCCCAACUCCCCGCUAAUUACCCUCACUCAUUAAACGAGCCCCUUCAUUAAACACAGGCCUUAAUUACACCCCCCCCACUAAAACCAGGCAUUAAUUAACCCUUCCCAGGCAUGCCGGCAGGUUUGGCCCCAAAUCCCGGGAUUUUACCCCAAAACAAAGCGCACACGAACCUCCCCUCCCAGCAGCAUUUUGGGGUGGGGUCUCCCCCUUCCUCCUCCUCCUCCUCCUCCUCUUUUGCCCCAUUUUUGGGGCCUUUCGCAGCCGCCCCCCCUCCCCCCGCUGCCGUCGGCGCCGUUUUGGGGUACAAAAGUCCAUUUUUGGGGCUUUACCUGCCAGGUGGGGCAGGGGCCCGGCUGGGGGGGGCCGGGGGGGCUCCCCCAGUUCCUGCAGCGCCCGCAGGGUCUGGCGCUCCUGCUCCCAGUCCUGGGAGGCGGCGGCGGGGACGGGGACAUCCCUGGGGACAUCCCUGGGGACAUCCUUGGGGACAUCCCUGGGGACAUCGCUGGGGACAGCGCUGGGGACAGCACGGGGGGGCUGGCCCGGAGCCUCCUCGAUGACGGUAUCGUCGGAGUCACCGGAGCUGUCGGCGUCCGUGGGGACAGCGGUGGGGACAGCGGGGACACCUCCGGUGACGCCGCUCCCUACGCCGGGGACACCUCUGGGGACAUUCCCGGUGCCACCGAGGCCACUCCCGGUGAUGGUGACAUCGCUCUCCAGGCUGGUGACAGCAGUGACAGCGCUCCCAAUGCCAGGGACACCGCUCCCGAAACCGGUGACGCCAUUCCCGAUGGCGGUGACGUCAUUCCCAACACCAGUGACACCAGUGACACCAGUGACACCAGUGACACCAUUCCCAAUGGUGGUGACACCGGUGACACCAGUAACGCCAUUCCCGAGGCUGCUGCCGCCAUUCCCGGCACUGGCCUUGCCGUUCCCGGCACUGGCCACACCGUUCCCAGCAGUGGCCACGCCGUUCCCAGCACUGGCCAUGCCGUUCCCAGCACUGGCCACGCCAUUCCCAGCACUGGCCAUGCCGUUCCCAGCACUGGCCACGCCGUUCCCAGCACUGGCCAUGCUGCUCCCGGCACUGGCCACGCCGUUAUCCUCGCUGGCCACGCCGUUAUCCUCGCUGGCCACGCCGUUAUCGUCGCUGGCCACGCCGUUAUCGUCGCCGUGGCCGCCGUUGCGCUCCACCAGGUCCCAGGAGAGCAGCUCGCUGGUGAAGCUGUGCAUCUCCCGCACGCAGCGCGACACCUCCUCCAGCGCCGCCGCCGAGCCGGGGGGCGGCCGGGCCGGACCCCUGCCCGCGCCGGUCACCCCUGCCGCGGUCACUCCUGCGGUCACUCCCGCGGUCACUCCUGCGGUCACUCCGGCCACGCCGCGGGGUUUGGGCGGGAAGUGGCACACGCGGCCCUCGGGGAUCUGGCCGAGCGCGGGGCCGAACUCGCGGUCGAAGGCGGCUCUGUCCGGGACCACCUCGAACGGCGACUCCGG
rnacentral:lncRNA from 1 species